AAUUAAAACUAUAUAUAAAAAUAAAAGUAGUGCCAACCCUAGCAAAUUUCUCAUUUCGUCCCAAUUAACCGCAAUUUUCGGGUAAAUAGGGAUUACACCUAUUUUUGCAUUUUUUGCUUAAACUGGAAUGCUAGUUGCAUAAUUUUAAAUUAGAUAACAAAGAUGCCCCCAAGACUCAAUCAUUUUUAUCCUGAUAUAGCAUUAUAUACAUCAACUACCUUAAAAUUGCUCAUAAAGUUGGAAUUUGUCCCUAAUCGCCCCAUUUUACGGUACUAACUUAACCUCUUCUAAAUUCAUUUUGUCCUAGUACUUGAGAGAAUGAAUUUAUUAUUAUGUAAGAACGGUGACCGUCCUUAAACUAAUUCUACCACUACCAUAUUUGGUUACACAACCUACUGUGAUUAAUAUAUUAUAGAUAAUUAAAACAAACACAAAAGUUUGUUUGUUUGUCGCACAAUCACGCAAAAUUAUCAUACAAAGUUUAGUUUUUGGUUUACAAACGUACAUUUAACUAUAUUACAGUCUUUAUCUUUGCAAACGACAUGAUCCGCCCCCUGAUCACGUAAAAAUUUGCGACAGCCACAAUUUUGCAGAUGCUGUGCAGACGCGUCGCGACCGAUCGCAAAACGUCAAAUUAUUUCGUAUCACGUACCGCGAUUGUUCGCUUACCGCUUACUGCAGUUUUCUGUCAUACAACUAGCGCCAGUCGCAAUCGGGUAGCAAUAAUUGGCACUAAAAAUCCCACAUUACCUUUUUUUUUUUGCUGAACAAACCGGCAAAUGAAUUUAUAAAAGCGCGUUACAUAUAAACAUUUCAAAAUGUUUAAGUGGAAUUCACGUUUGAAACGCCAAGUGAGAGCUGCUAAUUCUGUUCUUUUCGAUGAAGCGUUACUAAAAAUAAGUGAUCUAAUAAUAAUUUUUGCUUUAUUUUGAAUAAUAGCUAUAAAAAUGUAAUUGUGUCAUGUCAAACACUGAUAAAAAAAAUUUUUGUAAUCGUUUGAUAAUUUGUAAUCAGAUAGUUGUUUACGUUACGAACUUAUUUUAAAAAAGAAUGGAUCAAAAUGAUAGCCUAAUUUAUUAAUUUCAUUAUCAAUUAAGUAAGUACAUAAGCUCACAACCCAUCUAGUGUUAAGUGGUAUAGACUCACAACGUGAAUGCCGCCCCCACCUUUGGAAACGAGGUCUGAGUUUCAACUGUAUACCAAAACGGCUGCCCCAUUCUUCAAAUUGCAACGCAUUACUGCUUCGCGGUAGAAAUGGGCGGAAUGGUGGUCUUGCGGGUUAAUCAAACGCCCUACCACCAACGAUUUCUUAAAAAAUAUUUGCUAAUUUGAUUUUAAAUAAAAGAUGAAUGAAUCCUUAAUCAUGGAAGUCUUCCAUGUAUAUAUGUCAAAUACGUGUUUCAUUGGAUUUAUUGAUAUCUGCCUGCGGGAUUCUAACACUGGUUCAGUCGCAUCUUUAUUAGAAAGUCGGCCGUCUCUACUACACCGCUUAGGCCACGACGAUUUCAAAUUAAAUAGUAAAUUCUAGAAUAAAUGAGUUAGUUUUAUGGUUUUAUCAAUAAUAACGUGUACAACAGAUCCAUCUUACGCCGACAUGAGGCCGACAACGCUAGAACAACGUCGAUGAUAUUCUAGGCGAGAUGCUGCUAUUCUUUAUCAAGUAAUAGAUAGUGGAUUUGUUUGACUUGGCAAGAGUAGGCUUUGAUUUGAAUACCAGAAAUAUAGUGCAGUCUUUCACAGCUUGAAGGGAAAUAAAAGCUGUGCAGACUAUUCAAAAUAAUGUUCACCCAAGGUCAUGGGCAAUAUGACGUGAAUAGGAAACUGCAUGUCAGACAUUAACUUAAUGUUCUAUCUUAUUUUUAAACAAAUUAAUCUAAUAUUUUAAGACAAUAAAUAAAUAUUUAUUUUUAUAAUUAGCCCAGUUUUUCGUCGACGAAGCCAUCUUAAGAGAAGCUUCAUUGCAAAUAUCAGGCCGAUAUUUAACUAUAGCGGACAACAAACAAGAGUAGACACAUCGUGAGCUGUAGUUGUAGAAAGAGGAGAAAAUGGAAACUAAGGCGAACCACUGGCUCAUGCAGCUUUCAUUUCAGCAGAGGCUGCUCGUACGCAGGCAGAGGCCGCGCAUCUUCCAGCUGAGAUAUAUAAAAAAAUUCAAGGAAUUGACCAAUAUCGGCAAAAACCUUGUUUAAAAUAAUAAGUUCAAUUUUGUUUUAAUUUUAGCUGAGUCCGUAAUAGUUUAUAUUACCAUAAAAACGAAAUAGCGCUUGUUACAAUAGUCAAGCAAAUCCAAAUAUAUACGUUUUACUUUAGGCUGGUACUACAGUAAAUUUUAUGACACUAAUGAGUAUAUUUUACGCUAAUAAAACUACUCUCAACUUAGCAUUUCAAAAUGACUAUUUAUUUUUUUAUUGCUAAGAUGGGUGGACGAGCUUACAGCCCACCUGGUGUUAAGUGGUUACUGGAGCCCAUAGUCAUCUACAACGUAAAUGCGCCACCCACCUUGAGAUAUAAGUUCUAAGGUCUCAGUAUAGUUACAACGGCUGCUCUACCCUUCAAAACGAAACGCAUUACUGCUUCACGGUAGAAAUAGGCGGAGUGGUUGUACCUACUCGUGCGGACUCACAAGUGGUCCUACCACCAGUAGAAUACCAGUAUUUAGCUUCAUUGUAUAUUUUGUACUCACAGUAUUUGGCAUGUUCUGCUUCUAGUCUAUAGGGUUAUAGAGCUAUCACCUUGCUAUCAUCCUACUUACCUCAGCCCCAAGUUCAGUUAUGUUUCUUUGAAGUUAUCGGCAGUCGAUAUUAUAUUUCAAUUGUGGCUUCAAUUUCAUGCGGCAAGAAGUUGGACAUGUAUUACAAACAAACUACGAUUUCCUAAUUUAAGAAUUAUUAUUCAAAUAAAACAAAAUUACACAAAAAUAAUAAUUAUCAAACUUAUCUAACGGCCGUCUGGUGUAGUGGUUAGUGACAUGGUCGCUACACAAGGGGGUCGCGGGUUCGAAUCCCGCCAAGGAAAGAUAUUUGUAUGAUAAAUAUAAAUGUCUUUUCCAGGGUUAUGGAUGUAUAUUAAAUAUAUGUAUGUGUAUAAUAAAAAUCCUACAUUUAUUUCCGUUAUCUGGUACCUGUAACACAAGUUCUUUACGAAUUUAUCACGGGACCAGUUAAAUAUUUAUAUUUAUAUUAUUAUUAUUAUCACAAUGAACAAAAAUGAGUGGUGGUUGAUCCACAUUUUGUCUAAAUUAUGAAUUAUGUUUUUCAUUUUGUAAAUAAUAUUCAUGUAAGUAUCCAACAAAAUCUAGAAGAAUUAUGAAUUACUAGUCGAUUUGUUAUUCAUUCUAUUCUAUUAUUUAAAACAGCAGUAUAUACAAUAAUAUAUAUAACAACACAACAUACAAACGGGGUUAACAUAAAGAUAAAAUGAUACAGAACAAAUUGAGCACGACAGAUUAAAACAUUGUCUUAAUAAAACAACCUCACAAUUUUGCUUUCAAAUUGUUAUGAAUCCAUCCUUUACUAUAAACACAAAAAUGUUAAGGAAAUAUGUAUAUUUCCACUAAACACAAUUAAAAAAUUAUAGGCAGAAAUAAUUAGGCUAUUCUUGCCCUCUCAGUUCACAUAAUUAAGAACAGCAGUUUUAAAAAUAUCUACAUAAAAUUACUAGAAUACAGAGGUUGGACUAAAUUUAAUGUCUGUUCUCCACAAUCCAAUUGAACCACCCUUGAAUGUUGACAUGGUGCUAAGUGCUGUGUUUCCUCUUCUCUCCCAAAAAAUACAAUAUUAUGAAUUUGAUAAGAAACAUCAAUUUCAGCAUCUUCGUCAGAGAGUUGGGGCACUGGAAACCCAUGUGUGUUUGCCAUGUUAUGCAAUACAAGCUAACAAUUAUGGUCUUGGCCAUCAUAUGAUGAUCAUAAUGCAGUACUCUAUGUACCAACAAGCAUCUCCAACUGGCCUUCAAUACUCACAAUGGUCAACAGUGUUCCUGGUAUGACAAUAAACAUUACUAUAGUACUAUAUAUUAACGGCCUUCCCAGUUUUAAAUAUACUUUUAGAUUGAGUAUUAUUUUGUAGUCAGGUUACUGAGACAGAGCUCAUGAUGUUUUACUUGCCUAAAAACAAAACUUUUUUACUAUUAUGGUGCAGGUCCUGCAUAGGCAUAUUCAGUUGUGAUAAGCCAGACAAAUGUAUCAUGAAAUGUUGCAUCAAUACUUAAAAUGUUAAGAUCACUAUCACAGAUCUGAAAAAUUUAAUUCUUUAGAUAAGUACUAUCAAAUGUUUGUUAUUGUGAAUGAUAGGCUUCAUCAAAAUACUUAGUAUUUGCACAUUCUUGAAAUGAUAAUGCUUGCGGUUCUAAAACCUUUCUUCAUAUACAGAAGAUCUGAUAAGUGCAAAUGAGUGCCAUCUAUACACCCCAAAACCCCAGGAUAGCCAAAUUUAUUGUAAAACCUAUAAUGAAAAGAAAUUUAUUUACUAUUAUAUUAUGUUUUCAAUCACAAAAUUAUUAUUGUUCAAAUAUCUAUGUACUAUAAAAAUAAGACAAAUUUUGAAUUAAAAAAAAAUUAUGUAGGAAAGAUUAAUGGUGGCCUGAAGGCCUUUCCAGUUUCACCAGGACUUGACAUUUCUCAGAACUCUGUUUAAAAUAUAGCUAUAUAUAGCUAUAGUUAUAAAGCUUCAAGAAUAUAACUGAUCUAUAUGAUUGACUCGUGGAAAUUGUAAAAUCAGUAGAACUCUUGUGCUCUAUACUAUAAGAUAAUUAUUUAACUUACCCAUUUAUAAUAACUUGUGACCCAUUGUACUGUUUGCAGAAACUUUAAAUGUUUCAAUAAAAUUGGAAGAUUGUUUAAUGCCAUAGCCACUUCCCUAAUGGCAUUGGAUUUACUACAGUUUAACUCAAAAUGCAAAAAGCUCAUUCCCACAGGUUUCUGGUAUGAAAUUUUGCAAUGCUGUUAACACCUGUAUAAACAAGUUAUUUAAAACAUUUAGUUAAGAAUAAAUCUGAAAUCAAAAAAACAAUGCUACUUUUGAAGACAA